rnacentral:hammerhead_ribozyme from 1 species
CUCCUGUUGAGGAGUCUCACAACAGGGCGAAACAACCGUCCAGUAC